GCCUCGGCAGCCGCCACCGCAGCCCUCCCGGCAGGCGCGCCGGGCGCCGCGGGCCGCGCGAGCCCGCCGCCCACCCUCCGCAGGCCGGUGCCCGGCGGGGACGCGUCCCGGGCCAGGGUCGCCGCGCCCACGCCGGCGCGGGGCGAGCUCGGGCCCGGUCCUCCGCACGCCGCGAGCGACGCCCGGCCGCCCGCCCCUGCCUCUCCGCCCGUGCCGGGGCGGCUCGGCGUCGCGACGGCCUCUCCCGCGCGCCCCACGCCCCCGCCUCGCCGAGCCGCCCGCGCGGGGGCCUGAGGGGCGCCGCGCCGCGUCCGCUCGUCUGCCCGCCCGCAGCGCCGGGCGCCUUACCCCGGGGGAGCGGCGGCUGCCCCACGGCGCCCUCCCGCGCAUGUCCGGCCGGCCGGCUCAGCGCCGCUGGCUGCGGGGCCCGGACAUCGCGCAGGCGCCUCGCCGCUCGCUCGCUCGCUCGCUCUCUCGCUCGCCCUCCCGCUCGCGCCGCCUGCCUCGCACUCGGCCGCCGUCGCCGCCGCCGCCGCCGCCGAGUAUUUAGCGUAAGCGCGGAGCGUGACGUCACGCCCGCCGCCCCGCCCCCGCCGCGCAGCCAAUCCGGACGGCGAGUCGCUUAAAGGGGCGAUGCCGGGCUGCAGCGGCCGCGGGGGGCCGGCGGGCGUUGCUGGAGGGCCCCGGCCGGCCGCGGCCCUGGCUCCUCGCCUCCGCGGAUCCGGGCAGCCGCCCUCGAGCGCCCGGGCGCCGGGUUUUCUCAGAAGUCUGCGCGAAGCCGGCCUCGCGCGGAAUUUCCCCUCAUUCCCUGCCCGGGGGGUAGUGCCUGCCUUUCUCUUCGUGCGGGAGCCGGGCAGGCGCGCGAGGACCGGGAGGGGGACACUGCGGGGCUGAGGGACGGGAGGGGCGGCGUGGGACCUCGAGGGACGGGAAAGGAUGACAAGGGACAGGAGGGACCAUGUGGGACGAAAAUCUAUCCAGAUUCCACCCCCACCUCCCCUGCUUUAUGUUCACCACUACCCAUAGGCUGUUAUCAGUGGAAAAGAGAAGAUCCACCUGAGAACUUGCCCAGAACAUCUUUUCAGACCUCACAGUACAGCAUUUACUGAAUGGGGACCUAGAUGAGCUCCGGUUUCAUCCAAAAGGAACCCUAGUUACGCUUUUUCAAGUCGCCACAAUACUGCUGUAAUUUGUGCUUUGGCCUUAUUGGCAUGCUUUUACAUUCCCUAUUCAUAAAACAGUGAUAAUCUCCAGAGCAACCAUCAAACACACCCCUUCUUCAGAGAAAGAAGAUCAACAGGAUACUUACUAUAUAGUGCUAAGGAAAUGCUAUCCCUGGAGCAAGGAAAAGCUUGGAACUCUAUCUGAGGAAGCUGAUGACCACGCUGUUGUCCUCAGGACAUUACUCUUUUCUGUCCUCACCAAGAAAUUCCACAAGUCAUAUACAUAUAAAGAUGCUGACUGGACCUUAUGAAACGUAUAAUGACUUACAUCCAUGUUUUGAUAUUGGAAUCCUGUAGAAGAGUAUGUGUAUUUUGGUGUUUAUUUAUCUGGAUUGUAGGUGUUUUGUAUUUCUACUUUGUUUAUAAAGAAUAUUUUAAAACAAGACCCUUUUUAGUCCCAGAGCUUUUAUUUCUGUCUAUACAUGAUAUAAAUAUUUAUUAUGUACUUUUUUUUUUUACUAAUCUCUAAGUA